rnacentral:lncRNA from 1 species
AAUAGAAUUUAUAGGUUUCGAGUUUUGUUAUGGGCAACCCUUGUGAUUGUAGCUUCCACAGUAACUUGUUUUAUAGUGGAUCAACUUAAUGAAACUGCUUGGAAGUUUGAGGAGCAUUCUCUCAAUGAUUAUGUCUUAGUCUCAAGUGCUUUGCAUUUUGGUAUGUUUGGAAUGUGGUCUGGUUAUGUUUUUGCUGUUACUAUUUUUUAUUCACCUUCUGGUCGAAGUACAGAGAAAGAGAUCAAAGUUCAAUAUCGACACUCAGAACAGUUAUUAGCCUCAGGUGAUGUCGAUGCAUCAUUAAAUGAUAGCGAUGAAGACGAGAUUCAAUUUCGGCACCCGAAAACAUAAUGCGUUAAUGAAAUUAAGUUCGGGUUUAGUUUAGCUUUACUUUUUGUAGGAUAGCCAUAUAUCAUUAGAUCGGAGUUCUAUUAAAGUAGUGAUUUUUUUUAAAUUUUUUCAUAUGUUAUUUAUAU